CUCAGGGAUGAACGCUAGCGGCAGGCUUAAUACGAUGCAAGUCGUGGGGCAGCAUGAGUAGCAAUACUUGAUGGCGACCGGCAAACGGGUGAGGAACACGUACACAACCUUCCUUCAAGCGGGGAAUAGCCCAGAGAAAUUUGGAUUAAUACCCCAUAAUAUAUUUGAUAAGGCAUCUUAUUAAUAUUAAAGCUUCGGCACUUGAUGAUGGGUGUGCGGCUGAUUAGAUAGUUGGCGGGGUAACGGCCCACCAAGUCUACGAUCAGUAGCUGAUGUGAGAGCAUGAUCAGCCCACACGGGCACUGAGACACGGGCCCGACUCCUACGGGAGGCAGCAGUAAGGAAUAUUGGACAAUGGACGAAAGUCUGAUCCAGCCAUGCCGCGUGAAGGAUUAAGGUCCUCUGGAUUGUAAACUUCUUUUAUAUGGGACGAAAAAAGGGCAUUCUUGUUCACUUGACGGUACCAUAUGAAUAAGCACCGGCUAACUCCGUG
rnacentral:rRNA from 1 species